CAAGUCACUUGUCUCUCACGUGAAUGCGUUAAUGAUUAUAUUAUAAUGCAUUGGAUAAUGCUUCGUAAGAUGGUGACUUGUUGUAAAACCAGAGAUACAUGAACAUGAGCAGUAUACGACACCAUCACCAUGCCUAAAUAUAUCAAGAAAAAAAAAAUGCCAACCAUGAGUACAUAUUAUUUGUUAGCUAGAUUCAUUCAUUAUUAUUCUUGCCACUCUAUCUAUAACAUACAACAACAAUAAUAACUUUAUCUAUUAAGUGAAAUAUUGCUAUUGCACAAUAUCAUUUACUUUUGAUAUAUCAAAUUAUUAAGGUGAAUGCUAUCCUACCAUCUCUAAAGUAACAUGUAAGUUAUUCUCUCUAAUUUGGGAAGAGAAAAUAAGACAUUCAAUGAGACGGUGAUGCUUGGGGGCGUAAUGACGACAAUGAAGAAGUGAGGAGGAGUAAACGCAAUUAGAGAGAGUUGGAGUACCUUUUUUAGAAGAAUGAUUUGGGAAGAAAAAACGAAACACCAAUGAGACAGUGAUGCUUGGGAGGCGCAACGACGACGAAAGAAUGGAGAAGAUAACUCAGGUUAAAAUAUCUAUAUAUAUGAUAUUUCUUAUGUCCAAUUAAAAUUGGAACCAGAUUAUUGUUGUUUCAGAUAUGGAGUUGCUUCAGGAUUCAGGGGAGGCCCACGUUUAAGUAUAGAGAGGCGUAUCAGACCCAUUUGAACAAACCCCACACGUCUAUUUGGUUUCUCAAUCAUAGACCCAUGCAUUUAUUAAAGCAGAAAAGAUAAUACUACCCGAAGAUAAAAGCAAAAGGAAAAGAAUUCAUGAAGGAAAAAAAAUCAGGUAAAUUUUGAUGUGCAAGUGGAUCAAUCAUAUCAUCAAGAAAAAAAAGAACUAUAUAGACAAAAGGCUUUCACUAAAAAA